UACGUAGGGUGCAAGCGUUAAUCGGAAUUACUGGGCGUAAAGCGUGCGCAGGCGGUUUCGUAAGUCUGUCGUGAAAUCCCCGGGCUUAACCUGGGAAUGGCGAUGGAGACUGCAAGGCUAGAGUUUGGCAGAGGGGGGUAGAAUUCCACGUGUAGCAGUGAAAUGCGUAGAUAUGUGGAGGAACACCGAUGGCGAAGGCAGCCCCUGGGUCAAAACUGACGCUCAUGCACGAAAGCGUGGGGAGCAAACAGG
rnacentral:rRNA from 1 species